rnacentral:lncRNA from 1 species
UCCUUUCAGGUGGGUUGGGAGCAGAAAGGAGGAAAUCAGGCUUUGCCAGGAGAAGGAGAGCACUGGCUUUGGAAGGCUACAGAGGAAGCAAGAGAAGAAGACAGGAUUCCUCAGCCUCUGUACUGGUGUAAGGGAACUGAGUGAGAAAAUACCUCAUCAGCAUCUAAGCCCUCUGAUUCUUAUUUCACUGGAAGAGAUGAAAGAUCAGAUCCUGCUAUUAGCUACACUGAUGUCGAUCUGGGGUGACUCCAGGUGACUCCACUGAAAACAUCGGAGCUGCAGUUUGGUAAAUUCAGAGAUUGAUCUGAAGCAUAGUUUGGUUUAAUCUGUGAUGUGUUGUCUGUCCU